GCUUACGACCACACCGGCCUGAGUACGCCUGAUCUCGUCUGAUCUCGGAAGCUAAGCAGGGUCGGGCCUGGUUAGUACUUGGAUGGGAGACUUCCUGGGAAUACCAGGUGCUGUAAGUU
ensembl:rRNA 5S_rRNA 5S ribosomal RNA